rnacentral:rRNA from 1 species
CGGGUGAGUAACACGUAUCCAACCUGCCGACAACACUGGGAUAGCCUUUCGAAAGAAAGAUUAAUACCGGAUGGCAUAGUUUUCCCGCAUGGGAUGAUUAUUAAAGAAUUUCGGUUGUCGAUGGGGAUGCGUUCCAUUAGGCAGUUGGCGGGGUAACGGCCCACCAAACCAACGAUGGAUAGGGGUUCUGAGAGGAAGGUCCCCCACAUUGGAACUGAGACACGGUCCAAACUCCUACGGGAGGCAGCAGUGAGGAAUAUUGGUCAAUGGACGAGAGUCUGAACCAGCCAAGUAGCGUGAAGGAUGACUGCCCUAUGGGUUGUAAACUUCUUUUAUACGGGAAUAAAGUGAGCCACGUGUGGCUUUUUGUAUGUACCGUAUGAAUAAGGAUCGGCUAACUCCGUGCCAGCAGCCGCGGUAAUACGGAGGAUCCGAGCGUUAUCCGGAUUUAUUGGGUUUAAAGGGAGCGUAGGCGGGUUGUUAAGUCAGUUGUGAAAGUUUGCGGCUCAACCGUAAAAUUGCAGUUGAUACUGGCGACCUUGAGUGCAACAGAGGUAGGCGGAAUUCGUGGUGUAACGGUGAAAAUGCUAGAUAUCACGAAGAACUCCGAU